rnacentral:rRNA from 1 species
ACGUGAUCUGAGUUCAGACCGGAGUAAUCCAGGUCGGUUUCUAUCUAUACCAAAGCUUAUUCUAGUACGAAAGGACCGAAAAAGCGUGGUCCCUGCCUAAAACAUACCACCAUUAAAAAUUUUUGUCCACAACUUAAUCAAUUAUUAACCUACCACAAUUUUCAAGAUCAGAAU